AUUGAACGCUGGCGGCAGGCCUAACACAUGCAAGUCGAACGAGUGGCGGACGGGUGAGUAAUGUAUGGGAAACUGCCCGAUGGUGGGGGAUAACUGUUGGAAACGGUAGCUAAUACCGCAUACCAUCGGAUGUGCCCAGAUGGGAUUAGCUCGUAGGUGGGGUAACGGCUCACCAAGGCGACGAUCCCUAGCUGGUCUGAGAGGAUGACCCGGCACACUGGCACUGUGACACGGUCCAGACUCCUACGGUAGGCAGCAGUGGGGAAUAUUGCACGAUGGGCGCAAGCCUGAUGCAGCCAUGCCGCGUGUAUGAAGAAGGCCUGCGGGUUGUAAAGUACUUUCAGCAGUGAGGCGUUACCCGCAGAAGAAGCACCGGCUAACUCCGUGCCAGCAGCCGCGGUAAUAC
rnacentral:rRNA from 1 species